UACGUAGGGUGCAAGCGUUUGUCCGGAAUUAUUGGGCGUAAAGAGCUCGUAGGCGGUCUGUCACGUCGGCUGUGAAAACCCGAGGCUCAACCUCGGGCCUGCAGUCGAUACGGGCAAACUAGAGUACUGCAGGGGAGACUGGAAUUCCUGGUGUAGCGGUGAAAUGCGCAGAUAUCGGGGAGGAACACCAGUAGCGAAGGCGGCACUCUGGGGCCGGUACUGACGCUGAGGAGCGAAAGCGUGGGGAGCGAACAGG
rnacentral:rRNA from 1 species